UUCAACUUUACCAAGAAACUCAACCGGUUCAUCCUUCAUUGACCAGAUACCAUUGACUGGAGCAAACAACGUUCCCGAAUUUCCCUCAAAGACAGCGGCGUUGUCAGAAUAAGCAGAAAUUGUAUAUUGGGGAUUUUUUAAAUGGGUAUUUCUAAUCAUUUUAAAUAGACUGUAGUCUUUCUUUUCGCCAUCAAUAGUCCAAUCAGCAUUGAAAAUUUUAUGACGACAGUGCUCUGAGUUAACUUGACCAAACAUGAAAAGUUCGACGUCUGUAGGCUCACGACUCUUUAAACUAGGCUCUGAGGUAUAGCACUCAACCAAAUAAUCAAUUUCAUCAGGUGCCAAAGCUAAUCCAAACUUCUUAUUGGCAUGAUUCAAUCGCUCGGUUGCAGCCUGCUUGUCACCACCUUGCCCACAGUUAAGCUCUAUUCUCACAAGUGGAGCUGGUUCGUGCUUAUCAAAAACUUCAUCCUCUUCCGGAAGUUUAAAUCUUAAAGCUUCAGUCAUGCGAUCAUAAAGAUGAUUCAAAGCAGAUUUAAGCAUCUCUUCUGAAAUGUCAUCUUUAAAAACUACUGAAUAGGCAAUACCUCUCUCUAUACGAAUCACAUCUUUAUAUCCACAAACAUUGGCAAUGUUCGUUGCUUUGGAUGACCAAGGAGAAAUUGUUCCUGGACGUGGAAACACAUAUACCAUCGUUGUUCCAUCAGGCUUGAAUUCAGAUUCUUGCAAAUCAGACAAAAUUGGUCGCAGACUUUCGCAAUUUAAAGAAGAAUUGGACUUAGUAUAGAUCAAGUAGAAAUAAACAGCAUUUAGAUCAGAAACUCCAGAAACUGUUAGUUCCAAAAUUUUUUUUUUACUCUGAACGCUCAAGGCAGAUCCACCAUAAUAAACCAACAUUUUCGUCUAAAAUGAUACAAA